rnacentral:misc_RNA from 1 species
AAAGUCGUAACAAGGUCUCCGUUGGUGAACCAGCGGAGGGAUCAUUACAGAGUUGCAAAACUCCCAACCCUUUGUGAACGAACUUACCAGUUGCUUCGGCGGCAGACCCCUUCUGGGGCGCGCCGCCGGAGUCCUACAAACUCUUGAUUUUUUGGCAUCUCUGAGUAGCUUAUAAAUAAGUUAAAACUUUCAACAACGGAUCUCUUGGUUCUG